ensembl:lncRNA
CGGGGAAGGGGACGGUUGAUGUUGAGAUAUGUGUCUUCAGAAACACUGUAAGCUACUGAUCGGUGGUGACCAGUGGCAGAUACACAACUAGAGCGCUGACCAACGCUACAAUUCAGUUAACAAGGAGGUAUUAUCUAUGACUAGGGCCUGUGAGCAGAUCCAGGACAUCAUUUUGCAGGGGAAAACGGAUUAUAAGCCAUUCUUGAGCUAACUGGGAGUUCAAGCCUUGGACAAAAUUUGGGAUGAAGUUUAUGAAAUAUUCUCACUUACUCCAACUCUCAUAUUCCAGAGAAAACCCACAGCCAACAAUCGUUCCUGUUAAACAACAACAGCACAGUUGACAGGGAGCCGAUGGAGGAAAUCAAAACAUCUACUAUACUGACACAAUGAUUAACAACCUGCCUGCUGAAUAACAGUUCAGCGUUGACAGUGACUGCGCUGUCAUGAACGACUCCAAGAAGAAAUUAAAUGCUCAAGAGACAAUGCGUGGCUCAUGGAACAUUCUGUUGUUACAUGGUCAGAGGGCCACAAGGAACACUCAGACCUAACCCUGAUGGCUUGGUGCCCAUGACUACAGAGAACCGCACAGACACCCAGAUGUUGCGUCAACCUGGGGAGGAAAUUCCCAUCCUUCCAAGAUAAAAUCAAGUGUCUACUUAUGUUGACUAUCUGGUCACACCUGCCACUGUGAGAACAAGAUCAGGCAGAGGUGUGAUCAAACUAAUAAUUACAGAAUUUUGAGACUGUGAGUAAAAAAAAAAAAAACUUUUCUUUUGAGUGCCUAGGGCAGUUCAUCAGCAAAGAAUAUGACAAACGUUCAUGCGAAAUGAUUAAUUUAUUUCACUGAGCUUUUAGUGAAAGGCUGUAGUCUACCCUUUGUUCUCUGAAUGGGAGAUGUGGUGUUUGCUAUAGAUUGAGUAAGACUUAGGACGGGAUGACGACUUGUCAAUAAGAGUUCAGGACAAGGGAAACUGGAAGAUGUUUUAGCAUUCUAACGGGCAGUUGAAAUGUACAGUAAGUAGGUGUAUGUUUGUCGUCAACUGUAAAAAGAACACAGAUGAAAUAAAUCGCACAACAUAUAUCAUAACAUCUGAUAGAAUAACAUUUGGGGAAACCUUGUCUAAUCAUUUCAAUGUUUGUUGUUAUAAGUAACUUACCGUUAAUGUUCGGCCAUUGCCUUCACAUUAAAGCGGGUGGUGAGAAAAAAAAAAGGAGACAAGCAGAAUCCUUUCAGUUUUCAUGGUGUUUUAUUGGUUUUGGGAUUUAUUGCAAUCUUUUCAAGGGUGAACAUAACCAG